rnacentral:rRNA from 1 species
AUGGCGGCGGCCGGGUCGGGGUGGAGGCAAAACACCAUGGAGAAUCCGGUGUCUUUGGGCGCGGCAUGGGUUGAUGGAGCGGCGGAUUUGGGCAUGAUCCCACCCUUAGGCGCUCCACGACGACGGCCAGUUCGGAGGGAGAAGGUAGAAAGUGAUGGCGAGUCCUGCGCCUCUGGGUGGAAGCAACGGGGUUGGUCGAGCAGCGGAUGUGGUCGGGGUCAGCAGUUGAAGGAGGCUCGCCGGCCGGAGCAGCAGGAGGUGAUUCAGGAGCGCCUCGAGGAGUGGAAGGGAGAGGUCGUGCAGGACAGGCCAACAAGAGCAUUAGAGCAACGAGGAUAA